rnacentral:rRNA from 1 species
UACGAAGGGGGCUAGCGUUGCUCGGAAUCACUGGGCGUAAAGCGCACGUAGGCGGAUUGCUAAGUCAGGGGUGAAAUCCUGGAGCUCAACUCCAGAACUGCCUUUGAUACUGGCGAUCUUGAGUCCGGGAGAGGUGAGUGGAACUGCGAGUGUAGAGGUGAAAUGCGUAGAUAUCGCCUGGAACGCCGACGGUGAAAACAGCUCGCUGGGGGUGUUCUGACGCUGAGACACGAAAGCCAGGGGAGCGAACGGG